AUGAACGCUAGCGGGAGGCCUAACACAUGCAAGCCGAGCGGUAGAGUUCCUUCGGGAACUUGAGAGCGGCGUACGGGUGCGUAACACGUGUGCAACCUACCUUUAUCUGGGGGAUAGCCUUUCGAAAGGAAGAUUAAUACCCCAUAAUAUAAUGAUUGGCAUCAAUUAUUAUUGAAAACUCCGGUGGAUAGAGAUGGGCACGCGCAAGAUUAGAUAGUUGGUGAGGUAACGGCUCACCAAGUCAAUGAUCUUUAGGGGUCCUGAGAGGGAGAUCCCCCACACUGGUACUGAGACACGGACCAGACUCCUACGGGAGGCAGCAGUGAGGAAUAUUGGACAAUGGGUGAAAGCCUGAUCCAGCCAUCCCGCGUGAAGGAUGACGGUCCUAUGGAUUGUAAACUUCUUUUGUACAGGGAUAAUCCUACUCUCGUGAGGGUAGCUGACGGUACUGUACGAAUAAGCACCGGCUAACUCCGUG
rnacentral:rRNA from 1 species